rnacentral:rRNA from 1 species
AUUGAACGCUGGCGGCAGGCCUAACACAUGCAAGUCGAGCGGAUGAAGGGAGCUUGCUCCUGGAUUCAGCGGCGGACGGGUGAGUAAUGCCUAGGAAUCUGCCUGGUAGUGGGGGAUAACGUCCGGGAACGGGCGCUAAUACCGCAUACGUCCUGAGGGAGAAAGUGGGGGAUCUUCGGACCUCACGCUAUCAGAUGAGCCUAGGUCGGAUUAGCUAGUUGGUGGGGUAAAGGCCUACCAAGGCGACGAUCCGUAACUGGUCUGAGAGGAUGAUCAGUCACACUGGAACUGAGACACGGUCCAGACUCCUACGGGAGGCAGCAGUGGGGAAUAUUGGACAAUGGGCGAAAGCCUGAUCCAGCCAUGCCGCGUGUGUGAAGAAGGUCUUCGGAUUGUAAAGCACUUUAAGUUGGGAGGAAGGGCAGUAAGUUAAUACCUUGCUGUUUUGACGUUACCAACAGAAUAAGCACCGGCUAACUUCGUG